UCGGGUUGGACUCAGGCAAGAAAAAUCUUGCCCAAUGUUCGACCCAUAUAGAAAACGGUCUUAAAUUUUACCUAAUCCCAUUUUUUCGAGCCUAUAUUUUGUCUAAACCCUCCCAUUUUUUAGGUGUCCUUCAAGCUUGGAUGGGUGGCUUGAAAAGUAAGAGGGUUUGGCUGAAAAUGGGUUUGGACAAAAAAUAAUGCUCGUUU
rnacentral:lncRNA from 1 species